rnacentral:rRNA from 1 species
UACGGAGGUGGCAAGCGUUGCUCGGAAUCACUGGGCGUAAAGGGCGCGUAGGCGGGGAGGUAAGUCGGGUGUGAAAUCCCUCGGCCCAACCGAGGAACUGCGCCCGAGACUGCUUCUCUUGAGUCCCGGAGAGGAAGAUGGAAUUCCCGGUGUAGCGGUGAAAUGUGUAGAGAUCGGGAGGAACACCGGUGGCGAAAGCAGGUACCUGGACUAUAACUGACGCUCAGCUGCGAAAGCUAGGGGAGCAAACAGG